GCUUCUCUAGCUCAAUUGGUAGAGCAGGGGCCUUUUAAGCCUUGGGUUGUGGGUUCGAGUCCCACGGGGAGCACGA
rnacentral:tRNA from 1 species